rnacentral:lncRNA from 10 species
GUCAAACACCCGGCUCUCCUCUCCACCAGGCUCCCACGCCCACCACACAGCCUGUAGCCCCGGCGGAGCUAUGGGCUCUGACUCCGCCUCUUUCCAAAUCCGGAGUAGUUCGUGCCACAGUCGUCCUCGGAACCCUGUGGCCCCUUCCUCACCCGUUUCAGGGCCACUUGGUUCCCACCUCCACCUUCUUAGUCUGCCUGCCCUGCUUUCCAUCUUCUUGGAAUUCGCCUUGCUGCCGCCCCGCGCCCACCCCCGCGCCCACCCCUGCCCCUGCACCGUCCCAUGCCCUUAUGGAUUUAUUCUUUACACGUAAAUAUGUCUUUCCUCUUUUUGAAAGGAUUUGGAGUUGGAACAGAGAAAUUCACUAUGGAUGAUGCUAUAUCUUUAUAUGACCUUUGGAAUAUCUGUAAUCAUCCUGAGGGCAAUACUUAUGUAAUGAAGAUGGAAGAAGAGAGAAUAUGAAUACUCCGUGCACUUUGAUCUUAUCGUUUAGCUGCUGAUCAUACCAUCCCUGGAGUCCUACUUCUGACUCCAAGUUAUGAGAUAGAAACUAUUCAAAAAAGAAAUGAAGAAAAUCAUGAGAGUCGCUUCCAAGACGGCCGAAUAGGAACAGCUCUGGUCUACAGUUCCCAGUGAGAUCGACACAGAAGAUGGGUGAUUUCUGCAUUUCCAACUGAGUUACCUGGUUCAUCUCACUAGGAAUGGUUGGAGAGUGGGUGCAGCCCAUGGAAGGUGAGCCAAAGUGGGGGGUGGGGGAGUGUUGCCUCACCCAGGAAGUGCAAGGGGUCAGGGGAUUUCCCUUUCCUAGCCAAGGGAAGCCAUGAGUGACUGUACCUGGAGGAGCGGUACACUCCUUUCCAAAUGCUGUGCUUUUCCCAUGGUCUUCACAACCAACAGACCAGGAGAUUCCUGGAGACCUGCAGACCAGGAGACCUGCCUGGCUUGGUGGUUCCCACACCCACAGAGCCUUGCUCGCUGCUAGUGAAUCAAUCUGAGAUUAACCUGGGAUGCUGAAGUUUGGCAGGGGGAGGGGCGUCUGCCAUUGCUGAGGCUUGAGAAGGCGGUUCUAUGCUCACAGUGUAAGCAAAGCAACAGGGAAGCUCUAACAGAGCAGAGCCCACCGCAGCUCAGCAAGACGUACUGCCUUUCUAGAUUCCACCUCUGGGGAGAGGGCAUAUCUGAACAAAAGGCAGGAGACAGCUUCUCCAGACUUAAAUGUCCCUGACAGACAGCUCUGAAGAGAGCAGUGAUUCUCCCAGCAUGGCGUUUGAGCUCUGCUAACAGACAGACUGCUUACUCAAGUGGAUCCCUGACACCCGUGUAGCCUGAUUGGUAGACACCUCCCAGUAGGGACUGACAGACACCUCAUACAGGACAUCUCUGGCUGGCAUCUAGAGGUUGCCCCUCUGGGACAAAGCUUCCAGAUGAAGAAUCAAGCAGCAAUAUUUGCUGUUCUGGAGCCUCUGCUGGUGAUACCCAGGCAAACAGGGUCUGGAGUGGACCUCCAGUAAACCCCAACAGACCUGCAGCUGAGGGGUCAGUCUGUUAGAAGGAAAACUAACAGAAAGGAAUAGCAUCAACAUCAACAAAAGGACGUCUACACCAAAACCCCAUCUGUAGGUCACCAACAUCAAAUAACAAAGGUAGAUAAAACCACGAAGAUGGGAAGAAACCAGAGCAGAAAGGCUGAAAAUUCUAAAAACCAGAAUGCCUCCUCUCCUCCAAAGGAACACAACUCCUUGCCAGCAAGGGCACAAACCUGGAUGGAGAAUGAGUUUGACAAGUUGACAGAAGUAGGCUUCAGAAGGUCGGUAAUCACAAACUUCUCCGAGCUAAAGGAGCAUGAUCUAAUCCAUUGCAAGGAAGCUAAAAACCUUGAAAAAAAGGUAAGACGAAUGGCUAACUAGAAUAACCAGUGUACAGAAGAGCUUAAAUUACCUGAUGGAGCGGAAAACCACAGUACUAGACUUCGUGAAGCAUACACAAGCUUCAAUAGCCAAUUCGAUAAAGCUUAAGAAAGGAUAUCAGUGAUUGAAGAUCAAAUUAAUGAAAUAAAGCCAGAAGACAAGCUUAGAGAAAAAAGAGUGAAAAGAAACAAAAAAAAAAGCCUCCAAGAAAAAUGGGACUAUGUGGAAAGACCAGAUCUACGUUUGAUUGGUGUAACUGAAAGUAAUGGGGAGAAUGGAAACAAGUUGGAAAACACUCUUCAGGAUAUUAUCCAGGAGAACUUCCCAAACCUAGCAAGGCAGGCCAACAUUCAAAUUCAGGAAAUACAGAGAACACCAAAAAGAUACUCUUUGAGAAGAGCAACCCCAAGACACAUAAUUGUCAAAUUCACCAAGGUAAAAAUGAAGGAA